rnacentral:tRNA from 5 species
GCGCGAUUAGCUCAGUGGCAGAGCGUUCCCUUGACAUGGGAAAGGCCACAGGUUCAAUCCCUGUAUCGCGCACUA